ACCCCAACAGCACAGGGUUCUUCUCCCUGGGGACUGUGGUGAGGGCGCAUGUCAGGGUGUGAGUCAGGUUUUGCCUUUGUGUUCAAGGACCAGCCCAAGGUAUGUGCCAAGCUUAGCUUUGGCCUCAGGAUCCCCCUUGGGAAUCUCCAUCCUUGUUUUGCAAAUGGUCUGAUGAGUUUACAAGUUCCAUGCUGAAUAAUCUUGCACUGGUUAUGGGCACCAAAUCUAUUUUCUAUUCUCAGACCUACAGAUUGGUCCCCCAUAGGGAAAGAGCCUUGGCUAGGGUCAGGGUUAGGUCCAGGAAACUUCAGGAACAGAACCUACACCAAUACAGGGAUUUCCCAGGAGGGGUGAGUAAGUGCACCUGUUAGGGUGCGUAACAAUAAUAGGCUUUGGGUGCAGUGAACAGCCAAUUGUGUGUUCCAGGCUUAGAUUUAGGCACUGGAUCCUCUUUGAAGCUCCAUUCAGGGCCUGGAAAUCCCAAGGUCAAAUUCAGCAUACCUCACUCAAUAUUUCAGCACCCAUCAUGAGUCCCAAGUCUGUUCUUUUUUCAGACCUAGGACGUGAUCCCUCUCAGAAGCAGAGACAUGGCUAGGGUUAGGGUUGGCUCACAGGAAGUGCUAGGGGCACAACCACCAACAGUGCCUUGAAUUUGCUGGAGGGCUGAGUUGAGUGCUCAAGGGAGGCUGUGGGUCAGGCUUAGUCUUCGGGUUCAAGGGCCAGCCUAUGAUGUGGGCCAAGCUCAGGUUGGGCUUCAGGAUCCCCCUUGUGCAGCUCCAUCCUUACUUUGGAUAUGACAUGGUGAUUUCACAACAUCCAUGCUGAAUAAUCUGCAUCUGUUAUGGGCCCCAUAUCCAUUCCUUUCAGACCUGCAAAUUUGGCCCCCAUAAGUAAAGAUCCUUGGCUAGGGUCAGGGUUAGGUCCCAGGAGGUUUCAGGGACAGAACUGAUACCAGUGCACAGAUCUCCCUGGAAGGCUGAAUUGACCAUGCCUGAUAGAGUGUGGGAGAGGCAUGAGGAUUGGGUGCAUUGGACAGCCAAUUUUGAAUGCCAGGCUCAGCAUUUUUUGUAAACAUAACCCAAUUCUUGUCCUUAAUGAAGAACUCUUGCUUUAGGUAUAUCAAGUUUAAUGACAUUGUUUAUUAUCCAUCAAGAUCUUCUCAGGGUCUAUACAAAUUCAGUCUUUCAGAGUACUAUCUCUGGCUUGGAGAUGUCCAAUGUGGAUCAGCCCUUGUGACUGUGGGGUAGGUUGAGCCAAAUGAACCCUGACCUUCUGGUUUCAGGACUACUUCGACAUGUAGAGCCAUAGGGCCUUGGCAGUGGUCCACCCGAGACCAGUUUGUUUGGAGGCUGGGCCAGACAGUAUUAGAAGGGAGCUGGCAUCCUUGCUGCACCUAGGGGACAUGAAGAAACACAUCUCCAUGCCACAUUGGUUUCACUCCCAUUGUGGAAAUAUUGAAUGCCCUUUGGUCAUGGCUGUAGCCAUUCCAUCACCCUUACUGUGUCUCUGACUCUGCCUUCAUUCAUGCUUAGGAGCCAUGGAGCUGGCACACACUCAGUGGGCUCCUAGGGAUGGAUGUUGUGUUCUCACUGUCCCGUGCUCAGUGACAGCCAUCAGCAUCGUAUAUACCAAAUGAGAAUAGCCCUCCUAUUCCUGAGCUUAGUGCUUGGCUGUUUUUAGCAAGGGGUGGGGGGAGUGUAGACAGCUUGACCCAUUGCUCUGCCUGAUUGAGGUUUCUUCCCCCUGAAAGGCAGACAGUUCACACAAGAGCAGUAGCUGGUGAGCUGGUGAGCUCCAGAAGCUGGUGAGCCCAGAAACUUCCCUUGACAGGAAGUGGGCACCAAUGCCUCUCUCCACACUUUGGAGCCACAUCUGGGGCACCUCCCAGCUAAAACACUGUCAGAGCUCACUCCAGUCAAUGAUGGAGAAAGCAAGAAAGGCAGACCAAGUCCCAGGGCUCUCUAGGUCCUUCUGAAGGCAGAAGUCAGGCCUGGUGCCAACACAGCUCCCAAAUGGAGAUUCUAGGGAGCAUAUUUCCCUAAGACCUCUGGUGUUUCUUCUUCUUCCCACAGCCAUGUUACCAGAGCUCUUGCUGGGCACUCACUUUUCCAUAGAAUUCCCCUUCCAAUCUUUGAAGAGUUCUGGUUUUCCUUAUUCAACUUCACACAUCUUUGCUCCUUCUCUAAAAACAAGGUUCUUCCCACAAUCCGUUCAGAGUCAAUGUCUCCAGGUCCUAUCCUCUGCCUUCCACCUGGGAGUCUGGUCCAGUCCUUGUGACUGGUGGAGAGAUUUUGCCACAGGGCUCCUAUUCAAAAGCCUUGUGACUGGCUUUCAGAAGGAUACAGCCAUUCAGGGCAUUUUUAGCGGCCAAGCAAAGGAUGUUUCAUAUGUAGGCUGGGCCAGAGGUCUGGCCAGGGAGCUGGUAUCUUUCUGGGCUGAGAGCAAAUGAAACAAGACAUCUUCUUUCCAAGUGUAUCCCCAUUCCCACUGGAAGUGUUGAGCUUUGGCUCUCCUUGCAUUUCCUUUUCCUUUCUGUAUUUUGAUAAUUUUUUCUCCCUUAGGAGCCACGGGGCCAUCACUCACUCAGCUGGCACUACUGGGUAGGCUACAAACUCCCACUAUGCUCCUGUGCUAAGUGAGAGCUAUCAGGCUUUGUUCUACCAAAGGAAAGAAAACCUUUACUCCCUUGGUGCUUGGUGGUUGGCCUGCUGUGCUAUGUAAGGUAAAGGGGAGCCAGCUUGCCUGACUGACCUGGACGAUUGAGUUUUCUUCAUUCUGAGAAGCAGAAAGUUAGCACAUGGGCAACAUGAAUGGGAGGGGGUCAGCACUAGAAGAGCCCUUGCCAGGAUGGAGGGAACCAAAUCCUUGUUCCAGAAUCCUGAGCAAGAGCCAGCAGAACCCAACAGCUACAGCUCAAACACUGCUGCCUCGCUCAACUGAUUGAAAAAGGGGGAGGGAUACCCAAAGCCAUAAUUCACUGGUUCCUAUGGAAAAAAAUGCAGGCUUCUUGCUGACAGGGCUCCCAGAUGUAGUCCUUCAGAGGCUUCUUUUGUCCUAAGCCCACAGGCAUUUCUUAUUCCGGAUAUAACUUGGUUGAGAGGAGACUGCACUGGGUACUUCAUUCUCAACAUUCUCCAAAUCUCAUGCGUGAUGAAGAACUCUCGCAGUCUGUGUCUCCAUCUCCACCACUUAACCCUUUUUGUGAAGAAACAUUCUGCAUAUAAUUUAUUCAGAGCCAGUUUCUCAGAGCAAUGUCCUCUUGUUUCAGCUUGGGAAUUUGGUGGUAUCUUUGUGAUGUUGAUAUAGGUAUUGCUCUGGGUCCUUCUUAAUUUCAUUUUAUAAUUACGUGGCCACCCCAAACCUAAGGUGUGUAAAGAUGCCCACGGAGAAUCCUUGAGGGUAGUUUAAGCCAGCCAGUGUUUAGGGGAGGAUCCUGCAUCCUGGGUGGGACAAGAGGAAGGGAUGUUAGAGAUAUCUCCUUCCUCAAUUAGACCUGUGCCCAUUUGAAUGGAGAACUUUGGCCUUGUAGUCAUUCCUCUCCCAUUGCUGCUUUUCUAACUUGCUCUCUGUUCACACAGAAAGACAAUGUGGCUGUCUAUACCCAGCCAUGUUCCAAGGAUUGGAAGUCAGUUUCAGUCAGUUCCUGAGCCAGUGGAGGACUCUCAGAGUCUGAUGUCUCAGAGAACAACUGACCCUCAUGUCCUCAAACUCUUCUUGCUUAGCGGGCUAUUAUAGGAAUAGUGAAUAACUGCUCUUCUUUUGAAUCAAGGGAUUCCCUGGAAUCCUUUCAGAGCCAGUGUCUCAGAGUCAUAUCUUUUCCUAUUAAGCAGGGAGUCUGGAACAAUUUUGGUGAGUGUGCAAUAGGUUUGGUCACAGGGACUUUGGGAGUUGUGUUUCAGAAUUUGUAGACAUCGCCAGGCCUAGAGCAUUUGCAGGUGCCCACUGGAAAAUGCUUGUGUGUAGGCUAAGCCAGAGGUUUUAGGAAGGGAACCAUCCUACUAUCUGCAUCAAGACUUAAUUAAGAAAGAUAUCUCCUUUGCAGAUGGAUGCUAUUCUCUUUGGAGAUGAAGAACUUUGUCACUGCUUGUACUCAUACACAUCCCAUUGCUGAUUUUCUAGCUAGGUCUCAGUUCAUGUUCCAGGACCAUAGGGCUGUUAUUAACACAGCCAUGACUAUAUGAAUGGUGCCAGGUUCCCAGUCAGUUUCUGUAAAUUGAAGGUUCUCUGGGUCUAAUAUCUAAGAGGAAACCUGGCCCUUCUGUCCCUGAGCACAUGGUGUUGCUUAGCUGGCUAGUGUAUGCACAAGCAUCACUAUCCAGUUGCCCUCCCUCCCCUCACUAAUAUAGAUCCAUUCAUUUUGAAGAACAGGCAGUUUUCAUGUGGGCAUGAUGCUCCAAGAUCUGAUCACCACAUAAAGUCCCCUUGGAUGGAAUCCUGUACCAUGUACUGCUUCCAAACACUUACCCAUCGGCUGGGAGUACAUCCCUGCUACAGCUGUAUCACCACUGCCCCUAUGUCCUGAUGGCAAGGAUAGAGCACAUAAGUAGAACCAGGUCUUUCCCUCUGAUUCUGAAAAAACAAGAUCGGAAGGCUUCUUGAUGACAGGGCUUUCAGGUGGAACUUAUACAUGGCACUGUUGGCCAAAUCCUGCUGGCGUUUCUCUUUCCUGAGUCAGUCAGUGAACUGGGGAAGACUGUGCUAGUCACAUAACUUCCUAUAUUAUCUCAUUCUUAUCUCUGAUGCAGACUUCUUGGAUUCCCUCUAUGUGUUUUCACCCCUUUGCUCUAUUUUAGUGCUGAGCCCAUGCUGGGGUCCAUUCCAUGUGAUUGUCUUACUGUCAUAUCCUGGGCUCUCCACUGGGGUUCUGGUCCAUUUAUUGUGAGUGUGGCAUAUGUUGUCCCAAAGGGCCCCAGGGUCUUUACAGGAUAGACUUCCCUAUAUGCUUGUUCAUCUCUGCAUGAGUCUCAAACUCAGGUUUCUGGCCAAGUAGGCCUAUGUUUUUCUUUUUGUUUUGCCAUGAACAGAUCCUCAGAGCCUCUUGGGUUUUGAAACAUCUUGAAAAGACAAGAAUAACUAUAAAAUGGGAAGGUGUUACAGUGUCUGAAUGAUGCUCAGACCUUGAACUCCUAGAGGGAAGACGUGGCUGCCUUACCAGCACUGGCACUAUGUGAAUGCUCAGAUGCUCAUUCCCAGUGGCUGACUGAAGAGUAGUCCGUGUUACCGCCACUGCUCCUAGAAUGCUGAGAGGCUUGGGGAGUACUGGUGAGACACCUCGGGACACUUUGGUGGUGGUGCCUGGAGACAUUUGUGGAAGUCCAGGAGUUCCUAGGUGUCCCCAAUCCAUGAAUGUCCCUGUCCUGCACAAACCAGACUAGAUGCACAGUGGCUCUGAGGGGAUGAAGACUUGGCAGUCUAGUCAGCGACUAACCUGGAUGCGGCAGGUUCCUGAAAGUACCACAUGAUCUCUGCUUGUUUCCCUCCUCUCUUCCUUUGCCAUUUGAACACCCACCAUACAUGAAGAGGCUCAGGUGAUUGAUGUCUGAGAACAGGAUGCUGACUGUUCCCUCAGGUAAGAGUUAAGUGCCAGACCUGGGCAAACCAUUUUGAGUACCUCCUAGCUCAUGUAUUUUAAUUGCCUCUUUGUGGAGUGUAAACCUCUUAGACCUUAACCUAGAGGAUCUUGGUGCAGAAAAGCUUAGCAGAUGGAGGGGAAAAUGGAAACAGAGUUGGAUAUAGAUGUUAGCCUCAGGGGAAAGAAUGUGGUUUGAGUUGGGAAAUGAGGAGGUGGGUAAAGGGAAGGUGCAUAUAUGUAUCAGGUGGCCCUCCUGCCAUCUCACUCCCUCUAUCUCCAUAGUAAAGAAACAUGAACAAAUAUUAACAGAAAGUUCCCCAGGGCAGGUGCUGGCCCCGGUCACAGCCAUUCAUUCGCUUUGUAAUUAACUCGAUGGUGUUACUUUAGCAUUAUUGAGUAUUUGAGUAUUAUUAUUUGAGGAGCACUGGGUUCAUGUACAGCCACCUCCCUGGGAAACCAGCUUUGCAAAAGCUUCCUGGGUCUCUUGAGGGGUGACAGGGAGGUGUCCACCUUGGGAGGAGACACCUGCCAGUCCCUGUCCCACUGGCCUGGUCUCUGGAGC